rnacentral:rRNA from 1 species
UACAGAGACCUCAAGCGUUAUCCGGAAUCAUUGGGCGUAAAGCGUGCCGAUAGGUGGUUUUACAAGUCAGAAGUGAAAUCUCAAAGCUCAACUUUGAGACUGUCUUUUGAAACUGUAAAACUAGAGGGGCAAAGAGGAAGCUGGAACGAACGGUGUAGUAGUGAAAUGCGUUGAUAUCGUUCGGAACACCAAUAGCGUAGGCAGGCUUCUGGGUGCCACCUGACACUGCUAGGACGAAAGCGUGGGGAGCGAAUGGG